GUGGGAGGUCUGACCCUCUCUCGAUCGAAGCGAAAGUGGUUAGUGCACCGCCUGGGGAGUACGGUCGCAAGGCUAAAACUCAAAGGAAUUGACGGGGGCUCACACAAGCGGUGGAGCAUGUGGCUUAAUUCGAAGCAACGCGAAGAACCUUAUCCUGGGUUUGACAUGUAUGGAUUAACUCGAUGAAAGUCGAGCCACACCCUCGGGUGGAACAUACACAGGUGCUGCAUGGCUGUCGUCAGCUCGUGCUGUGAAGUGUCGGGUUAAGUCCCUUAACGAGCGCAACCCUUGUCGUUAGUUGCUAACAUUCAGUUGAGGACUCUAACGAGACUGCCGGUGUCAAACCGGAGGAAGGUGGGGAUGACGUCAAGUCCGCAUGGCCUUUAUGCCCAGGGCUGCACACGUGCUACAAUGGCGGAUACAGAACGACGCAAUACCGCGAGGUGGAGCAAAUCGCUUAAAGUCCGCCCCAGUUCAGAUUGCAGGCUGAAACCCGUCUGCAUGAAGUUGGAAUCGCUAGUAAUCGGAGAUCAGCUACGCUCCGGUGAAUACGUUCCUGAGCCUUGUACACACCGCCCGUCAAGUCAUGGAAGCUGCCAGCGCCCGAAGUCGCUCUAAUUCAAGAGUGCCCACGGCGAGGGUGGUGACUGGGACU
rnacentral:rRNA from 1 species